rnacentral:rRNA from 1 species
CGCCGCGUGAGUGAUGAAGGUUUUCGGAUCGUAAAACUCUGUUGUCAGGGAAGAACAAGUACCGGAGUAACUGCCGGUACCUUGACGGUACCUGACCAGAAAGCCACGGCUAACUACGUGCCAGCAGCCGCGGUAAUACGUAGGUGGCAAGCGUUGUCCGGAAUUAUUGGGCGUAAAGCGCGCGCAGGCGGUUCCUUAAGUCUGAUGUGAAACCCCCCNGCCCAACUGGCCAGGCUCAUCGGAAACCG